rnacentral:rRNA from 1 species
UACGUAGGGUGCGAGCGUUAAUCGGAUUUACUGGGCGUAAAGCGUGCGCAGGCGGCCCGUUAAGACAGGUGUGAAAUCCCUGGGCUCAACCUAGGAAUUGCGCUUGUGACUGGCGGGCUCGAGUACGGUAGAGGGGGGUGGAAUUCCUGGUGUAGCAGUGAAAUGCGUAGACAUCAGGAGGAACACCGAUGGCGAAGGCAGCCCCCUGGGCCUGUACUGACGCUCAUGCACGAAAGCGUGGGGAGCAAACAGG